rnacentral:misc_RNA from 1 species
GAUUUUGUCGUUAGGUGGUAUUGACAAAAUGUGCAAUCACUUAGUUGCCAACCUAAAAGAAAGUAAUAAACAUGAAAUAUCCGUAUGAGUGAAAAUUGAUUCAGUGUUCAUCGUUUGAAGACCAAAUAGCCAGCUUCAUACACCAAUAGAAGGCUGUUUACACCACUGGAAUAAUUACAUUAACUUAAAAGAUGCUGUCGUAUCUUUCAAAUAAACAUUUAUCGAACGUUCGAAGGAACCAGCAAAUUAUGCGAGAAAGUUUGCAAAGCAUUGGAAAAUCGCUACUUUUGAUUUACGGCCCAAACUCUUUUGCUGGAUAUCUGCGACAAGGCCGUGGAAAUACAUAGAAACCGAUAGCAGUACAAAAGGAAGGGUUGUCAUUUGCAUUUGCCACGAGUGACCCUUUUCAGGCUCUCAACGUCCAUCCAUGGAAAACGGAAAUCAAUUUGACCCGCUGCGGACCGCUUGCCAAGAUUCCGUACACAACUUUACACUUUACGAAGUCUCGGAAAUAUUUCAAAAUUUUCCAACUAAAACAGGGAAAUGUUCUUCGAUCGCAAUCUUGAAGAUAUAAUAAGAACAACAACAUAAGGAUGCAAAUACUUUUACGGACGAUAACAUUUCCAUCCUCUUGAUAUUAGAUAAUAUUAAAAUAUUGAAAACCAUCGAAAUGUCGGAUAUAUUAAG